GUAGGUGGCAAGCGUUGUCCGGAAUUAUUGGGCGUAAAGCGCGCGCAGGCGGUCCUUUAAGUCUGAUGUGAAGCCCACGGCUCAACCGUGGAGGGUCAUUGGAAACUGGGGGACUUGAGUACAGAAGAGGAAAGCGGAAUUCCAAGUGUAGCGGUGAAAUGCGUAGAGAUUUGGAGGAACACCAGUGGCGAAGGCGGCUUUCUGGUCUGUAACUGACGCUGAGGCGCGAAAGCGUGGGGAGCAAACAGGAUUAGAUACCCUGGUAGUCCACGCCGUAAACGAUGAGUGCUAAGUGUUAGGGGGUUUCCCGCCCCCCUUAGUGCUGCAGCUAACGCAUUAAGCACUCCGCCUGGGGAGUACGGCCGCAAGGCUG
rnacentral:rRNA from 1 species